GGAUGGGAUCAUACCAGCACUAAAGCACCGGAUCCCAUCAGAACCCCGGAGUUAAGCGUGCUUGGGCGAGAGUAGUACUAGGAUGGGUGACCUCCUGGGAAGUCCUCGUGUUGCAUUCC
rnacentral:rRNA from 1 species